GAUGAACGCUGGCGGCGUGCCUAAUACAUGCAAGUCGAACGCAGUGGGGACGGGUGAGUAACACGCGGCUAACCUCCCAUCAGAGGGGAUAACACUUGGAAACAGGUGCUAAACCGAUACCGAUGGAUGGACCUGCGGUGCAUUAGCUAGUUGAGGAGGUAACGGCUCACCAAGGCCACGAUGCAUAGCCGGCCUGAGAGGGUGAUCGGCAAAACGGGAACGGAGACAGGGACCAGACUCCAACGGGAGGAAGCAGUAGGGAAACUUCGGAAAUGGAGGAAAGUCUAACCAGGCAACGCCGCGGGGGUGAAGAGGGUUUUCGGAUCGUAAAACUCGGUUGUUAGGGAAGCGGUAUCUAACCAGAAAGCCACGGCUAACUACGUGCCAGCAGCCGCGGUAAUUC
rnacentral:rRNA from 1 species